ACGCAGAAACACCGUUUCUCAUGCAAUCAGCGAAGUUAAGCAACGUCGAACCUAGCCAGUACCUUGAUGGGUUACCUCUUUGGAAUACCAGGUGCUGUAA